rnacentral:lncRNA from 1 species
UUUUGAGCUGCUACAAGUCCAGCAUAGAAGAAUUUAUUCAGACCAAGACCAGCAGCAGUCAUGUCCCGAACAAUUGCAUACCUGCAAUGUUGGAAAAGAAGCCAAUCAGAUGACAGAGGGAAACAAAGAUUAUGAAUCCAGCAAUAAAUAAACCACAUAACAUCAUGUUCGGAAAGAUUGGAUGAAAUAUGACACUGAAACAUCAACAAUGAGCGCAAAGAAGUUGACUCUUGAUAGGGCUGCUGACUUGGAGGAGGUAGAGUAGUGGGAGAGGUGGUGGUUUCGGCGGUGGUGGUGAAGGAGAUCUCGGAGAGGGUGGUGGCUUU